rnacentral:rRNA from 1 species
GCAAAACGCGAAGAACCUUACCUACUCUUGACAUCCACGGAACUUUUCAGAGAUGAAUUGGUGCCUUCGGGAACCGUGAGACAGGUGCUGCAUGGCUGUCGUCAGCUCGUGUUGUGAAAUGUUGGGUUAAGUCCCGCAACGAGCGCAACCCUUAUCCUUUGUUGCCAGCGGUUAGGCCGGGAACUCAAAGGAGACUGCCAGUGAUAAACUGGAGGAAGGUGGGGAUGACGUCAAGUCAUCAUGGCCCUUACGAGUAGGGCUACACACGUGCUACAAUGGCGCAUACAAAGAGAAGCGACCUCGCGAGAGCAAGCGGACCUCAUAAAGUGCGUCGUAGUCCGGAUUGGAGUCUGCAACUCGACUCCAUGAAGUCGGAAUCGCUAGUAAUCGUAGAUCAGAAUGCUACGGUGAAUACGUUCCCGGGUCUUGUACACACCG